CCCGGGGUUUUGCUAAGCUUUCGCCCUGCAUGCCGGUCUUGUCGCUGGUGCUGCUGUGCAUGACUCAAGGGCUGUCCCCGGUGAGGGGACCCAAAGGCGAGCGAAGUUCAGGGGAACUUCAGAGCCGUGCUCGGCUUUGCGCAUCAGCCCUGGCGCCGGCAGCCCUGAAGAUCUGUGCGGUGCUUUCUGUUUCUACAGAGAUGAUCCCUUAGCAGAUCCUGGAGCGUCCUUCCCAGCUAUGUCUCAGGAAGGAUGUGUCUGAGGGAACACCUGAGGGCAUGCUGGGUCAGGCUCAAGACUCGGGCUGUUCGCUCAGUGCGCCCUUUUCUGCCAAGAAUUAGUCAUACCUCAUUGUAUUUUCCACAGAGCCUAGAUAAAGCAUCUCCUACCUUAUUCUGUGCAUUCACAUCUCGUGUCAUUGCAGCUACAUCAGAAAUGGAAAAAAAGCCCAUCAGUUUGACUCCUGUGCACUGGGCUGUGCUUGUUGUUAUGCCCAUUGCUCACGAGUUAUUUAUGCUUGCUUGCUCGGUGGCGGGUGUUCUCCAGACCUCCCGGGACUGGCCUUGCUCAAGAGGGCCCGCAAGCCCCCCAGACAAGCACGCACAGCAGUCAGCAGUAGCCAGUGUGUCUUUGUUGUCUCAGUGGUUACAUUUUCAGAGGGUGGCCUGUGCACACGGAGAGAGGGUGGGCAAGGCUACCUGCUUUGCUGUGGCCUUGGCAGCUAGUAAAGAAACAAACUAAAAAGGAAAUUCGGGAAGCUAAAAAUGUAAUUCAGGACGAGAAGGUGCUUUUGCAAGGCCCAUCCAUGCUUUCAAGUCACACUCAGAGUCUUUUCAGAGCUGUGGAAAAAGGAACAAUGCUGAAAAGUACCAGGGAGAACCACAGGGGAUCGAGCAAGCCAUCGUAAAGCAAGCCGUAUCUUUUUGCAGCUCCAGAGCCAUCCAUGGAGUCUGCAGCUUAACCCCUGAAUCCUUACACUGUUAUGACAGGAGUUUGCUGGAAACUCCUUGAAAGAAGUGUAGUAGUCUCUCCUGGGCGACAAAAUGUAGCCCACAGCAAAGCAGAGUGCCGAGAUUCUUCCAAAUAAAAGCUACCAGAGGGCACAUAUGAUUCAUUCUGCUCAAUUCCCUGCUGAAUUGCAACACCACUGCCAGUGUCAGAGGAUGUCAUUAUGAAUGGGAACACCCAUUUCACCAUGUGGGUGAAACAACUGUGCUGAAGUAAAUAGUGAAACUCUCACAACAGAGCCAGAGCCAGUUCUCUGAUAUCCAGUGCCAAUUUGUAACUUAGUGCGUGAUUAUGGUGCUCUCACAAGGCAAACUUGCUGAAUGAAUCGGAAGUCUCAUCCUCAUCCCCAAAUAUCUGCUUGCUAGUUGGAUUUGCAAUUUGUAUUCCUUAUUUCUAAUUACUCAUGGGUUUUCUUCAGAAGGUGCUUUCUGAGCAUGCAGAAGCAGAAAAAUGAAAUUUCCCUGGGCAGCAGAUCCUUUAUAAGCACUUUUCAAAGCCCCGUGCUACAAGUUCCAGAGGAGUCCCUGGGAAUUCACAGGGUAAGGUUGCACAUGUCAGGUGAGGCAGAUACCUCCCUGAGCUGUGCUCCUUUCAGUCUCCUCUCUCCAUCACAUCCAAAUGGCUGAAUACGAAAAAUCAGUGAUCCACUGAUCAGACAGAUCAAAGGAUCUGUCUGAUUUACAUUGGACUCCUGUUACUCCAAAGUUACUUUCAUAACCCAAAAAUCUUGUCUCCCUCCUGGAAAUGUAUGUUAUAUUUGGGCACAGUGCUGAAGAAUCCCAACAUUAAAAAGGACCAAAGUGAUUGCCUGAUAUUAUGUCCCUAACUACAGUGAUGUCAUUAAUCAUGGUAUUUUGGCACAACAGUGCAGUUUACCACCGAUGGGAUAAUGGUAUUUUAAUAUUUUGUGUGAUCACAGGACAUCGGGGUGUUGUGUAGUAAUACGACCUGUAGCGUUACAUGACUAACUGUGUUCCCUUUUUUAAGCUAAUGAUAUGUGCUUAUAGUUUAUAAACAUAUAAAUAAAUGCAUCUAGUUCAGCUGUAAUAUGUUUUUUAUAGUACAGAAGGUUAGGCUAGGCUAAUGCAGAAUGCUUUUGUAGAUGACAGGCCCAUAUGCUGCUGCUUCUGGGUUGUUUGAGUCCAGAUCCUUCUACUGUCUCUCACCAAAUCGUGAGUCCCUGUGAAAGUGGAACAUACCCUUCGCUGACUCAGAAGCGUGCAGAGUAAGGAGCUGGCAGGGAGAUAGCACGCAGCACGUCAGACAGCACGCAGCAUGCGAGGAAGUUGUGUGCCAUCCCUGGCACGGGCUGUGGCCAGAAAGGGUGGCUUUGGAGCACAGAGCAUCGGGAGCGUGAUGUAGGGGGUGUGUAGACAAGCAGCAGUGCUUACAUGUGCCUCUGUGUCCAGUCUUUUGAAGACGGUGUUGGGACAGAGGAAAAGAGUGUGUUAUAACAUGAUGAUCACCUGGAGUUCAAGACCUGGAUGGUGUCUGUGGCUGGUGGACCUUGUCAAACAUGAUCCUGAUGUUUGUGUUGAAGAUGUUAGGCGCUGUAGUGUGCUGCGGGUCUUAAUUGCCUUUGCUGGGUGCACUUGAACUGUCGAGCUCGGACAUGAUGUGAUGAGGUGUGUGUGCACGGACACGGCCUGUCAGUUUGUGUAGGGACUGCAAAUACAAUUUCCUCACUGCAGAAA